rnacentral:misc_RNA from 1 species
AACGCACCUUGCGCUCCUUGGUAUUCCUUGGAGCAUGCCUGUUUGAGUAUCAUGAAAUCUUCAAAGUAAAUCCUUUUGUUAACUCAAUUGGUUUUGCUUUGGUAUUGGAGGUCUUUGCAGUUUCACACCUGCUCCUCUUUGUGUAUUAGCUGGAUCUCAGUGUUAUGCUUGGUUCCACUCGGCGUGAUAAAUUAUCUAUCGCUGAGGACACUGUAACAGGUGGCCAAGGGAAAUGCAGAUGAACCGCUUCCAAUGGUCCAUUCAUUUGGACAAAUAAUUUCUUUAUGAUUUGAUCUCAAAUCAGGUAGGACUACCCGCUGAACUUAA